GAGCUCCUAUCAGGUCAUCUUCAUCAUCAGCCAUGUUCUCUGCAGCUCUGAUACUGCUGCUGACAGCUGCAUCCUGUGUCAACAGUAUUGAUCUCAUCCAGCCAGGAUCAAUGGUUGUGCAGCCUGGACAGACUCUGACCAUCACCUGUCAGCUCUCUGGUUACUCUAUCACUGAUGACAACUAUGCUACAGGCUGGAUCAGACAGUGUGAAGGAAAACCCAUGGACUGGAUCUCUUAUCAGUGGGGUGGUGGUACACUUCGGGAAAAUAAUGUUCUGAAGAACAAGUUCAGCUACAGCAGAGACACUUCUGCUGGGACAGUGACUCUCACAGGACAGAACAUGCAGCCUGCAGACACAGCUGUGUAUUACUGUGUUAGAUACACACAGUAACACAACCAUCAGCAGAGCUGAACAAAAACCCCUCAGAGUCUGAACACCAAGCCUGAGGCCACCAGAGGAGGCGCUCUAAGACCACAAAUCACUAAAACACCAGCUGAGUGGGACAAACAGUCUCUCUCUACAUGUUGUAUAAUAUAAAUGGAAGCUGUUUCCCUUCAUGAUAAAAACACAUGGGUGACUCAAUGACAGCAGGAAAACAACAUUAAACACAUGGAUCACAGCUUUACUAUCAAACAAAAUUUUAUUUGGACAUUUUUAUUUUUGUUGAUUUUAGAGGAAAGUCAAGCUCAGCAACAAGACAAGGCUGAUAACUGCAUCAUUAUGUUAACAUUCAAACUUGACAUCUCAUCUAUAAUAUCCAUCAGUAUGAACUAUAUCUGAGCACAGAGUCACUGAUAAAAACACAGUUUCUUCAUUGUGAACACUUGAUACUUGGAGCCCUCAGACAACAAAUGAUUGUAAAUUGUCCUAUCAUGGCUCCAGUAGUCCUGGGCCUGGUUGGUGUCACUCUCUGGCUCCUCCUGAUCACUGCUGAUUGACUCCACCUGCUCAGACCUGCACACCUGCUCCAAAUCAACUCAGGAAGCUCAACAGUAUAUCUAACCUGGUCCAACAUUCACUCAUCACCAGAUCAUUGUUCAGCCUCUGUGGAUUAUCGCUCACCUCACCUACCUCUACCUGCCCGCUGACUCCAAACUCCACCAACAGACCAGCUCUCUCUUCAUCCAUCUACAACUCAGCAAAUGAGAGAAAGAAAUACAGAAAGAAGAAUCACUGCAAUUCACUCUCCUCUGACUCCUUUUACUGCAUCUGGGUCUGAACUCACAAGACCUAACAGCUUCUUUGGAACAUUUUUUAGACCCUCACUAAAUAUUCUACAAAGAAAAUCAUCCAAAUACAGCCUCAACCCUCCAUAACAUGUUGUUACACACUACAGUAAAAAUACAUCUCAUCCAUGAUUCUAUUUGACAACUUUGACUGAGCAGAGGAAAGAGUCUGAAACUGGUGAAGACGGUGCAGCUCUGUUGGAUCUACCAAUAAAGAGAAACAUCCUGCUUUUUUCUCACCUAGCUAUGUUUACUACAUACAAAUGAAAGAGAUUUUGAUUGAGCUCUCAAUGUGAUGAAAAUGAGCCGUGGAUAUGAAGCGUUCAUGUCAUUAACAAAUGUAAAGAUAGGAUGCCUGUAACAUCUCAUGCUGCAAUAAGAAGGCAAAACACAACCAAUGAAUA